CAGCAUGGGACCCAUGUGGGUUCCACAUGUCAGGACACCACAUCAUCAGCUCUCUCUUUCCCCUUCUCUCCCUUCCCCCCAAAUCGGCCAGUGGUGGGGAGGAGGUCGCCGGGACGAGGAGGUCGGACGGCCGGCCGGUGAUGCGGCGGUGGCGGCGACACGGGAGAAGGGAAGGGAGGCAGUGGCGGGAGCACGGGGGAGAUCGAGCGUCGACGUACGACGCCGUCGUCGCGAGGAAGAAGGAGGCAGGGGGAAACGGGCGGCAGCGGGCGGACGAGCCGGAUGGUGAAUCGGCAGCGGUCGCGUGGGGAUGGCGAGGGGCGGGUGGCGGACUUGUGCUCCUCCUCCCGCUCGUUUUGUUCCUCUCGGCCCUCCUGCUCCCGGCCAUUGCCCUGUCCCGCUCGCGCCGCUUACCACCGUGCUCCGGGUGUCGAUCCACUGCGAGGGGUGCAAGAAGGUCAAGGAAGUGCUCCAGAACAUCGAAGGCCUGUAAAAGGUGGCGAGCGAUGCGGCGCAGCACAAGGUGACAGCGGCGAGCGAUGCGGCAACAAUGCGCUCAUCAGGUGGCUUCUCAUGUCAGGGAAGCACACCACGGUGUGGCCGUCUCCACCGAUCGCCGCGGUGAAAAAAACCCGACGAGGUCCAUGGAGCGUGUCGUCGUACUACCCGCCGCUGCCGCAGAUUUCGCCUGUAGCAUAUCCGCCGCUCAGCCACUUCCUCCGGUGUCAUCCCGCUGUAGCCCUGCCUCCUCGACGGCUAGCCCAACCUCAUCGUCCCGCCCCCACGCAUGCCUUCUCCCAGCGGCGCCGAUGAGCCCCAAUCUACCGCAUCGUCGUCUUCCGUCGAGGAAGGCGGAAGCCACGGCCGCCGACGACUCCUACCAGCGCCGGAGCAGCGGAAGCGGAGGCCGAGAGUUCGGAUGGGAGGAGGCCGACUAAGGACGACAGGAUUCAUCGCCGCGUGCUCUCGAGCAUGAGCUGAGGCCGGGGGAGACCGGAGGCCGCCGCCGGCGCCUCUUCACCGUCCUCCCACCGCCCACCGCCGUAGUCGUCCCAACCCGCCCUCCCGUCUUCCCCGAGGCCCGUCGUCCCGCGCUCAGCCCCAUCACGCCGCUCGUGGCCGACCCCUUCAACUGGUCACCGGCAUCGGCGUCACCGAAGGAGGCCGUGGCCAUAGCACAGAGAAGGGAAGAGUGAGAGAGAGAGGAGGAAGGGAGAGAGAUGACGUGGCAUACGUAGGAUAAAACCGGGAUCAAAACCAUCGAAGAAUCUAUUGUGACCGAUUUUAAUUAGUUAAGAAACACCGAAUAUCUGGUUUUGUGGUUGGGGAUGAUUUUGUAACUCGAUGACAAGUUGAGGGACCUUGGAUGUACUUUUUCCUUUCAUCUUUCCACCAUGGUGCUGUACUGCUGUGCAUCAAUCGGCGGCGGCCGACGGGCCGGGGCGCUGCCAUGUCAACACGCCUCUCCUCGGUUUUUCCUGGUUCCGCUCCUUGCUUCAUUCUCUCCCGCUGCUAACGAUCUCUUCUUUCCAUCAAUUUUCUACCUUUUUCUUUU